ensembl:lncRNA
UAUCUUAUUAUCUAUAUAGUGGUAUGAUUUCCAACUAUAAUUUCUUUGGAAGAAGAGUCCUUUAUUCUGAGGUGGAUAGAUUUCCUAAAAUGUUCUUUUGUAAGUCAUAUGGUGAUAGCAGAUUUUUCAAAUGUCCUUUUGCGAAAAAAUUAAAAGCCAGAACACCUAUGUCAGCCUCCUAAAUUACUUGGCAAUUCUCUGGACCACGAAUUCCCAGAACUGGCCAGGAACCACUGGGUUAGCUCGCUGACCUCUGACAUGUGAUAAGCAGAUACUCCCUUCUGGGCCGUGCCCUCCCUUGGAGUCGUGUGACUAUUAGCUGAUACUUUGGCAAGUUUCAGGCUCCCUAUUUCAAAUAUGGGGAGACUUGUUUCUGGCCUAUGCUCUUCCCAGGAGUGUUGCAAGGAUAAAAUGUCACAAACUAAAGAGCUUUGGGAAGGGAGGAGCUCAAUAAAUAGAUGAGAUAGCUGUUCCUAAAGACAGCUGGUGUGUUUUCAGUGCGAAGGGCUGAAUGAUCCCACAGAGACCCAGGACAAUUUCUCUGCCAGGGCAUCUGGGGAAAGUGACCAGCACCACUCAUAAAAUGUGCAAACUGUUCCACUGACAAGUGGGACCAGACGGCAGGGGCAAAGGGCCUCCUGAGGAGCUUUGCUUCUCUCCCUCAGAGGGCACAGGUCCAAGACACACUAGACCUCGGGGAGCCUCGAGUUCUGGGUGAUCUCUUGGGACACACCCAGGGAUCUACUGCAGAUCACCCAAGCUUCCCUAACUAGUUUUUCCAUUUCUAAAAGGUGAAGAUGCUUGCUCGGUCCUCUUUACAAGGGUGUCCCAGGGCUGUGAGAAAACACACAAUCCAUUCCUAAACCCUCCCUUUAAAGAUUAUCCACAGUGAAUGUUUAAUUCCUGCCCCUUUAAAUCCUUCAAAAAACAAUGCGUAACUCUGCUGCCUUUUAAUGUUCAAUUCCAGAAUAGCUUUCCCUAUAGUUUUAUCCCAAAUCACAUUUGUGGGUCACUCCCCUUGUCCUAGGCUAAGAGGUGGACAGGAAAUGGAAAAACCACUCUACCAUGAGCCUUAGCACAAACAGCUGAGGUGGACCUGAUGGUUUGACCAAAAUAGACGUAAGUACAAUACACCCAAACUAAAAACAUAGUGCUUGGGAGAAAGUGUGCUGGUUCCCUCCCUUCUGCACAUAGCUGCGAAUUAGCUGCACAUGGAAGUCCUUUGAUGUUUAGAAACCUGAGGCAUCAGGCUGCCCAGGGUUAGCGAUCAACAACACUUUUGUUUGAACUUGUCUGGUAUUUCCCAUUUAUCAGCCCUAUUAUAACCUAACAGUCUUACUGACUUUAGUCUCACUUGGCACUCUCAGCUCCUCUGAUCCCAUAGGUAAGGAUGCCACCCCGAGCAAACUGGGGGCCUACACAUUUUUAAAUAUCUUCCAAUUGAGCUGAGCGAUGCCUCACUGCAGAGCCACUCUUCCGUCCCUGUGCUCUCACUUGACUGACUGGAGGCAGGAGAAUGGGGACAAGCCAGGUAGUUUAAAACCCCAUUUCCCACUUGGUGGUGGAGCCACAGCUCUAUUCUCUCCUCCUUUCAUCUUCCCACUCUCUCCAGCUCAAGCCUCACCGUGCCCAGACAACUUCCUUCGUUGUUAGCCCUGCAUUUCUGAGAUGCAGUGACUCGUCUAUCGGUCUCCCGAUUAGAGUGCCAAGCCCCUAGAGG